rnacentral:rRNA from 1 species
UACGGGGGGUGCAAGCGUUAUUCGGAAUUAUUGGGUGUAAAGCGCAUGUAGGCGGUUUGGUGUGUCAGACGUGAAAGCCCAGGGCUUAACCCUGGAAGUGCGUUUGAAACUGCCAAGCUUGAGUCUCGGAGAGGAAGGUGGAAUUCCCAGUGUAGAGGUGGAAUUCGUAGAUAUUGGGAGGAACACCGGUGGCGAAAGCGACCUUCUGGACGAUGACUGACGCUCAGAUGCGAAAGCGUGGGUAGCAAACAGG